GGUACAAAAUUCUAUUUCUGGACGUGCUUUUUCCACUUCACGUUAAGAAAAUCAUCUUCGUUGACGCUGACUUGAUCGUCAGGGCGGACUUGAAAGAACUCAAUGAGAUUGACCUGCAUGGAGCGCCAUACGCCUACACGCCUUUCUGCAGUAGUCGCAGCGAAAUGGAUGGAUUCAGGUUUUGGAACUCAGGUUAUUGGAGGAGUCAUUUAGGAGGACGACCAUAUCAUAUCAGGUUCGAGAGACUAUGAAUGAUCAGACACAUUGAAUAGACAGUCAAAUUUAGUUCUACAUACUUUCAGUUUAUGACCCUCGCAGUUAUGAAUGUUAUUUAAGUGGAAAAGAGAGAAAGGCCUAAAAUUCGCCGAUUCAGCGCUGUAUCUGUCUUACUAUGAAUUGGCGUGAUAGCUCAACUGGCAGAGCGCUGCGCCGGCUUCGUAGAACUUCAUGUAUUAACAUCACACAUUUAGUACUACGUUGAUGAAUUUUUGUAAUCCUUCGAUGUAUUUUUUCCUUCCAUUUCCUUGGUCGAGAGCUUAACACGUGACCUGCAAAAUAACUGCCUACGAAUAAAUGUUUCGCUGCAAAUAAUAUUCUGCUCAUGCGUAAGUGAAACUACGCUCUUGUGUGAAAAUGGCGGAUCGGUUCCCCGAGCUGACAGAGAGUGUUUUGACAUAUUCAGUUGAUAAAAAAAAACGGUGAUCGAAUGAUAAAACAAUUAUUGAACCCGGUUAUUGCAAAAUAUCUUGAUCUUUCAGUGUCUCGCAUAUCGAUUAUUUGCCUCAGCCUUUGGGAAAUAAUACGAUCUGCUCGCCAUUGGCAAAUCACGAUAUUUUGCUCAACCUCGCUCAAUAAUUAUUAAUUAU